AGGUCUCUAAUUAAGCUCUUUACCAAAAUCAAAUUCUCAACGAUGGAUAUCUUGGUUCCCAUAACGAUGAAGAACGCAGCGAAGUGCGAUAAGCAGUGCGAAUUGCAGAACCGUGAGUCAUCAGAUCUUUGAACGCAAAUGGCGCUAGUUGGC
rnacentral:rRNA from 1 species